UACGUAGGGUGCAAGCGUUACUCGGAAUCACUGGGCGUAAAGCGCAUGUAGGCGGGUCUGUAAGUCAAAUGCGAAAGCCCUGGGCUCAACCCGGGAAUGGCAUUCGAUACUGCAGAUCUUGAAUGCUCGAGAGGAUGGCAGAAUUCCAGGUGUAGAAGUGAAAUUCGUAGAUAUCUGGAGGAAUACCGGUGGUGAAGACGGCUGUCUGGUGAGACAUUGACGCUGAGGUGCGAAAGCGCGGGGAUCAAACAGG
rnacentral:rRNA from 1 species